rnacentral:tRNA from 1 species
UCCCAGGUGGCUCAGCUGGUAACGAAUCCACCUGCAAUGUGGAAGACCUGGGUUCGAUCCCUGGAUUGGGAA